AAGGUCCUACGGGGCGCAGCAGUGGGGAAUAUUGCACAAUGGGGGAAACCCUGAUGCAGCGACGCCGCGUGAGCGAAGAAGUAUUUCGGUAUGUAAAGCUCUAUCAGCAGGGAAGAAAAAUGACGGUACCUGAGUAAGAAGCACCGGCUAAAUACGUGCCAGCAGCCGCGGUAAUACGUAGGGGGCAAGCGUUAUCCGGAUUUACUGGGUGUAAAGGGAGCGUAGACGGUAUGGCAAGUCUGAAGUGAAAGCCCCGGGCUCAACCUGGGAAUUGCUUUGGAAACUGUUAAACUAGAGUGCUGGAG
rnacentral:rRNA from 1 species